rnacentral:rRNA from 1 species
UACGUAGGUGGCGAGCGUUGUCCGGAUUUACUGGGCGUAAAGCGCGCGCAGGCGGACUGAUCAGUCUGGGGUGAAAUCUCACGGCUCAACUGUGAGCGGUCCCUGGAUACUGUCAGCCUUGAGAUGUCUAGAGGAGAGCGGAAUUCCCGGUGUAGUGGUGGAAUGCGUAGAUAUCGGGAAGAACACCAGUGGCGAAAGCGGCUCUCUGGGGACCAUCUGACGCUGAGGCGCGAAAGCGUGGGUAGCGAACAGG